rnacentral:rRNA from 1 species
AGAGAUGUGUGAUGACGCAUAUCAAUAAGCGGAGGAAAAGAAACUAACAAGGAUUCCCUUAGUAACGGCGAGUGAAGCGGGAAGAGCUCAAAUUUGAAAUCUUCAAGGUUCUACCUUGACGAAUUGUAGUUUAUAGAAGUGUUUUCUGUUAGUAGAGUGGCUAAAGUUCUUUGGAAUAGGACAUCAUAGAGGGUGAGAAUCCCGUAUUUGGUCAUUCUUUCUAGCUUUGUGAUACACUUUCAACGAGUCGGAUUGUUUGGGAAUGCAGUCCAAAAUGGGUGGUAAAUUUCAUCUAAAGCUAAAUAUUGGCGAGAGACCGAUAGCGAACAAGUACCGUGAGGGAAAGAUGAAAAGAACUUUGAAAAGAGAGUUAAACAGUACGUGAAAUUGUCAAAAGGGAAGCGUUUGACACCAGUGUUGUUUUUCCGAAAAUCAAUUAGAAUAGUUUUCGAUUUUAAGUAAGUAUUGACCUUAUCAGGCUUGCUUCUUUUCCUACGAAAUUAUUUAAUGCACUUUUCAGGUUAACAAGUCAACAUCAAUUUCUUUUGUUGUAAAAGGGUAAGAGGAAGGUGGCUUGCGCUUCGGCUCAAGUGUUUAUAGCCUUGUACCUCUGCAAUCGGAGAGAUUGAGGUCUGCAGCGUAGAUCCUUCGGGGUUAGAUACAUUUGUGCUAAGCUAUAGCCUUGUAUAGACAACUUGUUGACUAUGCUCAGUCAUGUAGCUUACUCGCUUAUGCUAUUUUACCUACGCUUAGGAUGUUGAAGAUGUAGCACAUCAU